CUGCAUUUCAAAUUUUAGACCAAAUUGGAAAAAUACUUCUAGCCAAUUUGACUAUUAUAGCCUAGAAUUCAGAAUUAUCUUUGAAUUUAGUCUGAAUUCCUUACAAUUCACACUUUUGGGAAUAACCCCUAUAAGCCAGCGCUGCCCCUCUCACUAUAAGGUCCACACUAUCCCAGGUUCACUGACAUAGAACCUACUGUAUAUGAUUAAGCGCAGAGGUAACCAGCGGGGAGAUCACCAAUUUUCCCUGCUACCAACUGGGCAUUUGUACCAAAAGUGCUUCCUUUUUACCAUGCACUCCAGAUGUUGUGGACAUCUCUCCUGAUGCGUUACCAGUAUUAUAGCUGUAAGAGCCUUAUGGGAAAUGUAGUCUACAACAUCUGGAUGGCCGAAGGUUGCCUACCCCGGUAAGUUCUAGCAAGCCAUUGAUUUAUUGAAGUUGCGGAAGUUUUAUUUUAAAGGGAGCUUCAGGUAAGAUUGCCAAAUCAUGAUUUUAUUUAGGGACUCCAAUGAAAAAUACAGCAUCGAGGGCUCCAAUGGUUUAACACAGCCCUGGAGUAUAUACGUUCAUAGGAAUCACUAUACCAACUUCUGAUAUGAUAACACUAGCUAAAAGUUGGUUACCCCUAAUCUAGUGCUUACUGUCAAGAUUUCAGUAGCUCAUAAGUUAUCUCAUGCCAAACCCCAUACGUCUCCAGUGGAACAGAAAUUAUUUGUGUAACAAGUAUAAGAAUAAUUUUGUUUGACGUCUUUAAG